CGGACACGUAGCAAUACGUGUUAGUGGCGCACGGGUGAGUAAUGUAUCGCUAAUGUACCCCGGACUCUGGGAUAGCCGGCCGAAAGGUCGGGUAAUACCAGAUGAUAUAACCGAUCCGCAUGGGUUGGUUCUCAAAGGCCCGCCGGUCUGGGAGCAGGCGAUAUCGUAUCAGCUAGUUGGUGAGGUAACGGCUCACCAAGGCGACGACGCGUAGCCGGACUGAGAGGUCGGUCGGCCACAUCGGGACUGAGACACUGCCCGGACUCCUACGGGGGGCUGCAGUAACGAAUCUUCCCCAAUGCACGAAAGUGUGAGGGAGCGACGCCGCGUGGAGGAUGAAGUCCUUCGGGAUGUAAACUCCUGUCAGGGGUUACCAAGUUCUGAGGAGCCCCAGAGGAAGUGGCGGCUAACUCUGUGCCAGCAGCCGCGGUAAGACAGAGGCCACAAGCGUUAGGCGGAAUCACUGGGCUUAAAGCGUGUGUAGGUGGAUGUCUAAGUACCUUGUGAAAUCCCACGGCUCACCCGUGGAACUGCUUGGUAUACUGGACGUCUUGAGCCAUCUAGGGGCAGCUGGAACGAACGGUGGAGCGGUGAAAUGCGUAGAUAUCGUUCGGAACGCCAAUGGUGAAAACAGGCUGCUGGGGAUGUGCUGACACUGAGACACGAAAGCCAGGGGAGCAAACGGGAUUAGAUACCCCGGUAGUCCUGGCCCUAAACGAUGUCCACUAGAUCGUGGUGCCUCUGACGGCUUCACGGUCGAAGCAAAAGUGCUAAGUGGACCGCCUGGGAAGUACGGUCGCAAGGCUAAAACUCAAAGGAAUUGACGGGGGCUCACACAAGCGGUGGAGCAUGUGGUUUAAUUCGAAGCAACGCGCAGAACCUUACCUGGGCUUGACAUGCUA
rnacentral:rRNA from 1 species